rnacentral:rRNA from 1 species
CAAUAGCGUAUAUUAAAGUUGUUGCGGUUAAAAAGCUCGUAGUUGGAUUUCUGCUGAGAACGACCGGUCCGCCCUUUGGGUGUGUAUCUGGCUCUUUCUUGGCAUCUUCUUGGUGAACGUUGCUGCACUUGACUGUGUGGAGCGCUACCCAGGACUUUUACUUUGAGGAAAUUAGAGUGUUUCAAGCAGGCAUACGCCUUGAAUACAUUAGCAUGGAAUAAUAAGAUAGGACCUCGGUUCUAUUUUGUUGGUUUCUAGAGCUGAGGUAAUGAUUAAUAGGGAUAGUUGGGGGCAUUCGUAUUUAACCGUCAGAGGUGAAAUUCUUGGAUUUGUUAAAGACGGACUACUGCGAAAACAUUUGCCAAGGAUGUUUUCAUUGA